GAUGGUUGGCUAGGAGCGUGCUAUGCGGUGAAGUUCUAUUGAGUGCAGGUGAAUCAACGGCCGUUCCGCUAACGGCCUUAAGCUUGCCAUGUGACUAGGGUAUUAUUUUUUCAGGGAAGCAUUUUUCGUGACAGCUCAUGAAGGAGAGAGGAAUAACCAGAACCAAGCAUGAUGCCUCACUGUUGGCUUUCGGCAGCUCUGCUCUUGCUAUUCCAUGCCGCCUACAACGCUGCGCAAGACACCGUGGUUCAUAUUGAGCGCGUGCAGGUCGAGGACGACAAGUGUAUCUACGAUGACGAAAAGUACCCCAACGGCGUGAGAGUCCAGAAGCUGGUGGGAUGGUGCGGAGAAAUUGAGUGCUACGCCCCGGGGAAAAUCGUGUACCUCUACUCGUGCUACAUUCCGGAAGGGUGCGAGGCGCCAAAGGGAGGCACGUUCCCCGACUGCUGCAAUCAUCUCGUGUGCCACUGAUGAAGGAGACGUCCAAUAAAAAGCUUGAAUGAAGGUGUAA